rnacentral:misc_RNA from 1 species
UAAACCUCACCGCUUGUGAUGUCAAAGUCGCUCGGGGUGGACUUGGACCGUGCCGUAGUUGGCUCGUCCUGAAAUGCAUUAGCCUGGUCGGCGUUACCGUUGCUGGCGGCCGUGGUGUGAUAAUCCUAUCUGCGCCUGUAAGUGCCGUGUCGGUUCUGCCUUGACCGGCUCACAGUCGUCCGAGAGGACAGAUGAAACUUGACA